GGAAAGGACAAUUGUUGACUAAGAGGGAGGGAAGAUUAGUAUAAGUAUGUGUUUAAAAAAAUACCAGUGAAAAACAGUGAUGACAAAAAUUAAUUGUUUCUGACUGUUCACAGGCAUUGAGGAAGACACUAACCUUGGCUUACUGCAGAGACACCAGUGAAGCAGCCCCUUACACAGCAAUAUUUCAUGACUGACAGUAACAAAGAUUGCUGGAAAAAAAAAAUCAUCCUCAUUUCACCUACAUCCAAUCCUUAUGAGGAAGCCAUCCAUUAAUACAAGCAUUGUGACUUUAAUAUGGCUGAAUGCCAAGCUGGAAUUAUGAUGCAAGAGGCUAGACUUUCUGAAGCCAAUUAUCGACCAUCUCCUUGCUAAUCAUGUCCAUGAAUGAAAAGUUAGAACAGUAAUACAUUAUAUGGUAAUAACGUUAUUUGGCAGGAAGCGUGGGCGAAGGCCUUCCAGCUCCACCAAGGCCCUAGGAACAUCAGUGUUGGGAAUCAGUGCCAACAACCUGUGGCAGGAAGCCUUCAGGAAGAUGAAGCACUGAUGUUGGAAGUGCAGAGGAGCCCAGCCCAAGGACACCUGGUAAUGACUU
rnacentral:lncRNA from 1 species